GGUCUGAUGGCCAGCUUAAAUCCUUAUUUUCCUCCUGCAAAAAGCGACACAACUAAUGUGCAAUUCGAUUCUACAUUCUAAGAGAUACAACUCAAGUUAUAUAUUUGAUUCAUGAUUCAAUGUCAUCUAAUUGUCUAAUGGUAAUAAUACAAAAUAUAAAACCGAUGGAUAAAGAAAAAUGUAGACGAAAACGGUCUUAAACCUGAUGAAACCAUAAACAUAAG
rnacentral:lncRNA from 1 species